rnacentral:rRNA from 1 species
GUCGAACGGUGUCUUCGGACAUAGUGGCGGACGGGUGAGUAACGCGUGAGAAUCUAGCUUCAGGUCUGGGACAACCACUGGAAACGGUGGCUAAUACCGGAUGUGCCGGAAGGUGAAAGGCUUGCUGCCUGAAGAUGAGCUCGCGUCCGAUUAGCUAGUAGGUGGGGUAAGAGCCUACCUAGGCGACGAUCGGUAGCUGGUCUGAGAGGAUGACCAGCCACACUGGGACUGAGACACGGCCCAGACUCCUACGGGAGGCAGCAGUGGGGAAUUUUCCGCAAUGGGCGAAAGCCUGACGGAGCAAUACCGCGUGAGGGAGGAAGGCUCUUGGGUUGUAAACCUCUUUUCUCAGGGAAGAACACAAUGACGGUACCUGAGGAAUCAGCAUCGGCUAACUCCGUGCCAGCAGCCGCGGUAAUACGGAGGAUGCAAGCGUUAUCCGGAAUGAUUGGGCGUAAAGCGUCCGCAGGUGGCUGUGUAAGUCUGCUGUCAAAGAGCAAAGCUCAACUUUGUAAAGGCAGUGGAAACUACACGGCUAGAGUGCGUUCGGGGCAGAGGGAAUUCCUGGUGUAGCGGUGAAAUGCGUAGAGAUCAGGAAGAACACCGGUGGCGAAGGCGCUCUGCUAGGCCGCAACUGACACUGAGGGACGAAAGCUAGGGGAGCGAAUGGGAUUAGAUACCCCC